CGUGUAGGCGGCUAGAUAGGUCCGUUGUGAAAACUCGAGGCUCAACCUCGAGACGUCGAUGGAAACCAUCUGGCUAGAGUCCGGAAGAGGAGAGUGGAAUUCCUGGUGUAACGGUGAAAUGCGCAGAUAUCAGGAAGAACGCCCGUGGCGAAGGCGGCUCUCUGGUACGUGACUGACGCUGAGACGCGAAAGCGUGGGGAGCAAACA
rnacentral:rRNA from 1 species